rnacentral:rRNA from 1 species
UUUCCUCACCCUCGUAAGACUACCCGCUGAACUUAAGCAUAUCAAUAAGCGGAGGA